rnacentral:rRNA from 1 species
AAUCAACGCUGGCGGCGUGCCUCAGACAUGCAAGUCGAACGCGAAAUUUCCCUUCGGAGAGUGUAUAGAGUGGCGCACGGGUGAGUAACACGUAAGUAAUCUACCCUCGGGUGGGGAAUAACGUUCGGAAACGGACGCUAAUACCGCAUAAUGCAGCGGCACCGCAAGGUGACAGUUGUUAAAGAUUUAUUGCCUGGGGAGGAGCUUGCGGCAGAUUAGCUUGUUGGUAAGGUAACGGCUACCAAGGCUACGAUCUGUAUCCGGUCUAAGAGGACGGUCGGACACACUGACACUGAAUAACGGGUCAGACUCCUACGGGAGGCAGCAGUCGGGAAUUUUGGGCAAUGGGGGAAACCCUGACCCAGCAACGCCGCGUGAAGGAUGAAGUAUUUCGGUAUGUAAACUUCGAAAGAAUAGGAAGAAUAAUGACGGUACUAUUUAUAAGGUCCGGCUAACUACGUGCCAGCAGCCGCAGU